UAUGUACAUGUUGGUAGGGGUAUGAGGUAGUAUGUACAUGUAGGUAGGGGUAUGAGGUAGUAUGUACAUGUUGGUAGAGGUAUGAGGUAGUAGAGGUAGUAUGUACAUGUUGGUAGGGGUAUGAGGUAGUAGAGGUAAUAUGUACAUGUAGGUAGGGGUAUGAGGUAAUAUGUACAUGUAGGUAGGGGUAUGAGGUAGUAGAGGUAAUAUGUACAUGUAGGUAGGGGUAUGAGGUAGUAUGUACAUGUUGGUAGAGGUAUGAGGUAAUAUGUACAUGUAGGUAGGGGUAUGAGGUAGUAUGUACAUGUUGGUAGAGGUAUGAGGUAGUAGAGGUAGUAUGUACAUG